GCCAUAUCACGUUGAAACACCGGUUCCCGCACGAUCACCGAAGUUAAGCACCAUCGAACCUGGUCAAUAACUAGAGGGGUGACCACUUAGGAAUAUCAGAUGUUGUAAG